ensembl:rRNA 5S_rRNA 5S ribosomal RNA
GUCUGUGGCUGUAGUACCCUGAUUGUGCCUGCCUGCAUCUGAUCUUGGAAGGCAAGUGGGGCUGGUCUGGUUAGUACUUGGAUGGGAGACCACCAGGGAAUACCAGGAGCUAUAGGCU